rnacentral:rRNA from 1 species
AUUGAACGCUGGCGGCAUGCCUUACACAUGCAAGUCGAACGGUAACGGGCCUUCGGGUGCCGACGAGUGGCGAACGGGUGAGUAAUGCAUCGGAACGUACCUUUCAGUGGGGGAUAACGUAGCGAAAGUUACGCUAAUACCGCAUAUUCUGUGCGCAGGAAAGCAGGGGAUCGCAAGACCUUGCGCUGAUUGAGCGGCCGAUGUCAGAUUAGCUAGUUGGUGAGGUAAAGGCUCACCAAGGCGACGAUCUGUAGCGGGUCUGAGAGGAUGGUCCGCCACACUGGAACUGAGACACGGUCCAGACUCCUACGGGAGGCAGCAGUGGGGAAUUUUGGACAAUGGGGGCAACCCUGAUCCAGCCAUGCCGCGUGAGUGAAGAAGGCCUUCGGGUUGUAAAGCUCUUUCGGCCGGGAAGAAAUCGCAUGGGUUAAUACCCUGUGCGGAUGACGGUACCGGCAUAAGAAGCACCGGCUAACUACGUGCCAGCAGCCGCCGUAAAAC